AAAAUUAUCUGGACGAGAUCAAUCGGUGAACACGAAGGCCGAUGGUCUGGAGCUGUUCCCGUCAUUGCACCACAGACGGGAGCGGCUUUAGCAUUUCCUCAAGGGUCAUGCACGUCAGAAUGUGUGGUCGAUGGGGCUCGCGUUUGCGCGGCCCCUAC
rnacentral:snRNA from 1 species